rnacentral:snRNA from 1 species
ACAUGUGAGGGCGAUCUGGCUGCGACAUCUGUCACCCCAUUGAUCGCCAGGGUUGAUUCGGCUGAUCUGGCUGGCUAGGCGAGUGUCCCCUUCCUCCCUCACCACUCCAUGUGCGUCCCUCCCGAAGCUGCGCGCUCGGUGGAAGAGGACAACGUCCCAGUUAUUGUCUCCCUUUUAUGCUUUUG